UAGACGUGACGGCUCAACAGAUCUUCAGCAUUCCCAUGGCAGUCCAUUAGGCAGGAAUGCUUUGGAGCGUUUGAAGGUGGCGCUUUCAGUUGAAUCCCUCUCCAGCAAAGCACUGAGUCAUCAUGAGGCAGCCUGUGCUCACACGAAGGCUGUUGUAUCCACUUUGUUUUUGCAUUUUUGUAAGUGACUCAACACGGGGUGGGAAGGGUGAGGUUUGAUAGCUCUCUGCUCCACCCCUGAUCGCUCUCAGCAGCCUUGCCUGAUCCCACGGGAUGUGGCCACAUGUCAUCCUGAGGUUAACAAGCCUGGACAUGGAGGAGCGGUGGGCGGUUGGAGAGGCAACACAAACAACAGAUACGGGUGAAAAGAGGUGAAACGAGGUCCUGAGACCUAAAGCAGGAUGCUUGCUGGGUUUCCAGGGUGCUGGGAGUAACUCGUCUGCCAGGACUGACCCUGACUUUCUCUCCGGCGGUUCCCUGAGCUGCUGAUAGGCUGUGGAAAGGGGGGGUGGGUGCCGGCAGCGGGUCCUUGAAACUAAAAGGUUAUGGGAAGAAGAAGGAUCCGGACAGAAUCGCCUAAAAAGGGGUUCUGCUCUGCCUUCACCAGGGUUGCUUCAGGUCUCCCCUCCCUCUGUCGACUCCACAUAACAUUAAAAGAAUCAUUGAAAUUCACAAAU